ACGCCUCAAAAGAGGAAUAAGCUAAUAAAAUACCGUUUCAUUCCAGAACUUUCUUGGAAUUCACAUAUGUGUGUCUUAAUAACUAUUGUCAUCCGCACACUCAUGGGCCCCUUGAAGCCUAUUUGCAUUUAGAGAGAAUCACCCGUAAUUGUUACCGUUUUGAUCAUGGCAGUCUCAUCGUUUUUUCCGGGCAUCCAGGGAAGACGCCGCCACAGAGACCACGGCCACACUAAAGGCAGAGCAGACCAAGGCAAAGGAAAAUUGGCAGAGAGCCCAUGCCCAUGGCCAGGCGCAGGCUGAGAAGCAGGAGCAGGGCCAGGACCUGGCCAGGGCUAUAUAUCCUUGCGGCUAUGCUCAGCGCCUAGUUCAUAAAUCAUUAGGCUCGAUUGUCUGGCUAACACGCUUUCACCCUCUCCACCCGGUCCACCCGGUCCACCCUGCCAGCCGACCGUCUCCUCGCCUGUGGCCUGUGUGGGCCCCCAUCUUGAUAGUCCUGCCCUGGCACACACUAAAUUAAUAAAGCAUUUUGCUAUCUACCGCUACUCUACCCCACCCACGCACAAAAAGAUAUAGCUGAGGGAGCACAGAAUCAGAAGUAAUAAGAAAGGAGUUUCAAAAAUCAACCUGAACACAGAGAUACAAAUGUGGGUAGAUGUGCCUCCGUGCCUCUUGGAAUUUAUCGCACGUUACGGCUGAUGCUGAGAGUUGUAAUUUUUCAUGAACAACCCCGGACACGGGCCCGGAGCCGCACGACAUGCCAAGGAGCACGAAAAAACGAUGAAGCGAAGGAGAUGGGCCACCUACCUGGAAGAUGGAGAUGAAGCGACAUUGCCUCACAUGUCUGACAAACGAGGAAUGGUAUAAUGAUGCCAGCCAACAAACGCAUACGCACACACCAGACAAGAGUUUGCAAAUGGUAGAUCAUAGAAUGACUGGACUAUCAAAAGAGGAGGAAUAAUACCACAUUUCUUCUGUAUUUCAGAACCGACCUCCAGGUCAAACUAGCACAGAUGCUUAUAUGUGGAUACCAUAAAGAGCAUCUGUUAAACAUCUAUCUAAUGGAGAUUAACUUAACAAACUUGAACACAGAAACUGCUCCAUAAAUAUGGAGCCAUUCCUGGCUAUUCCGAAUAUCGGAUACCAUCCAAAUGCUGGCCGCCCACCUUCAUCUAAGAGCUGAGUAGCUGAAACUGACGCUUUGGUCGCCUGGGUGAAUAUGGGGAAGGUAAGCAGGUGUAUAAGUAUGUGUUAGCCUGUACGACAAACUUCAUGAAAAGGAUAAGCUGAAAGGAGCGGGCAAACGAGCAGGCGGAGGUGGAGUUCCACACGCGCAGACAUAAUGCAAGAUUAAUUUCUGAUGUCGUUAUAAAUAAAAGCUCGCGUAUUUUAUAGCUUCAGCCCCUCCAGCAGAUCCCGUAGCCCAUGCCCCGACCCCACCUUCAUCCGACAAAUGCCGGCGGACGAAAUUUGUUUGCUGUCUGAUAUGUAUAUCCUCUGGCCGCCUGCUGGACAUCCAUGUGAAGGGUUGUCGCUCUGGUCUGGAAUGGUCUGUGACAGUGGGGUAAUAUUAUGUGGCUUAUACGGAAUGGCAGUGGCCAGCAGCGAGGAAGGAGACUCCUCUCCAACGUCAACGGCCACAAGAAUAAUGUUGCAUUUUAUGUCCCUCAAAUGUAAUUCGCGGAUGGAACGCGUCUCGUUCGCAUAAUCGGAUUUGGAGAGCACACAGAGAGACACAGAUUCGUGAAAGAGUGAAAAACCCAUUCAAAUUUGACAAUCAAAUUUAAUCGGGAGACACUCUUUCUUCAUUUCACUUCGUCAUGCUACAGCCCAGCAUCCCGCUUGCGGUUCUAAAGGACACAAUUAUUUGCUCAUGUAUUCAUCUGUUAAUUAAAGCUCGAUGGAGGAUUGAGUUGCUACUCGAGUUUAUAAUCAAGAUCUACAUCAUGGUAUCAACAUUUCUGUCCAGUAAAUUAUUAAGAAUCAUUCAUCAUUUUCUGUUUAUGGGACAGUGCAUCUGGUUAGUAUAUCCAUUGGGUAUGCUACAAUAUGAUUCGAAAUGGACAGAACUAGCCGCUUAUCAUAGAAUCCUGAGAGAUCUGCUUAGGGCGAUUCAUCAUGGUUGCGCAUGCGCUUAGGGUAGUAUUUUUUGGACA